rnacentral:rRNA from 1 species
GACAGAGGGUGCAAACGUUGUUCGGAGUUACUGGGCGUAAAGCGCGUGUAGGCUGCUCAGAAAGUCGGAUGUGAAAGCCCUGGGCUUAACCUAGGAAGUGCAUUCGAAACUUCUGAGCUUGAGUUCUGGAGAGGAAGGCGGAAUUCUCGGUGUAGAGGUGAAAUUCGUAGAUAUCGAGAGGAACACCGGUGGCGAAGGCGGCCUUCUGGACAGUGACUGACGCUGAGACGCGAAAGCGUGGGGAGCAAACAGG